CACACACUGUAACGUGGUCAUACUGUAGGAGCUUGGGUUUACAGACAGACAGAGACAGACACUGUAACGUGGUCAUACUGUAGGAGCUUGGGUUUACAGACAGACAGAGAGAGAGACACACACUGUAACGUGGUCAUACUGUAGGAGCUUGGGUUUACAGACAGACAGAGACAGACACUGUAACGUGGUCAUACUGUAGGAGCUUGGGUUUACAGACAGACAGAGAGAGAGACACACACUGUAACAUGGUCAUACUGUAGGAGCUUGGAGAGAGAGACAGACAGAGAGAGAGACACACACUGUAACAUGGUCAUACUGUAGGAGCUUGGGUUUACAGACAGACAGAGACAGACACUGUAACGUGGCCAUGCUGUAGGAGCUUGGGUUUACAGACAGACAGAGACAGACAGAGAGAGACACAGAGAGAGAGAGAGAGAUCCACCCACAGCGCAGUAGCUCAUGGUGACCUGCCUAUCUGUCUGUCCAUCCGUCUGUCUAUCUAUCUCAUUGUGUUUUAGCCGACUAAGGCCUGAGGCUACAAGUCUUUCAUUAAGCAAGGAGAUUCACUCCAGCACAGCUAUAGGUUCCAACAUGUAGACUACAUGCUAAAUGCUAGCCGUGUGGCUAACUGAAACUACCAUAGACAAGACUGUUGAGGGUAGCAAGUAACAAUGUAACAAAAUUGUGCAGUUAAUGAGAAAGAAAAAAAAGACAGAAUAAUGAAUGUAAAAUGCCAGGCAAACCGAUACUCUUUCUCAGUCUAGAAGACACACAGCCAAACACCGACAAAACCCAGACCAACAUCCCACACCGACAAAACCCACACAGAUAUCCCAGACCGACAAAACCCAGACCAACAUCCCAGACCGACAAAACCCAGACCAACAUCCCAGACCGACAAAACCCAGACCAACAUCCCAGACCGACAAAACCCAGACCAACAUCCCAGACGGACAAAACCCAGACCAACAUCCCAGACCGACAAAAUCCCAGACCGACAAAACCCACACCGACAUCCCAG
ensembl:lncRNA